CCAUUUCUGCCCCGCAGCUGGUGCACUCACUGGACUAAUCGAAAAAAGGAGGCGGUGGAGGUAGAGGGGCAACUGAGGAACGUUCAAUUUGCACUUGAAGGCUUUUCAGCAGCUGCCCCUAGUUUGACGGUGCAGGCUGAAUUAGGGUUUUGGGGAGGUGGGGAGGGGGGGGGGGGUAAGUUUCCUUUGAUUCCUUUGUUACCACAGGCAGGCCACACUACAGUUAGACCUGAUGCCUCAGGUAGGCCCAGCACAGGUGCACUUCACAGGUGUGUGUGAGAGCUCUCGGUGUUCCUGCAGCCUGAAGCUGGUCUGUGAGAAGCUGGCCAAUGAGAAGGCAGAGAUGCGGAGGCACUACAGCACGGGCUCAUGUCCCGGACUUCCUUGCUCUUGUGAUGGAUGAUGUCAUCUUUGAGACUCUCCUUCCAGGCAGAUGACAGCGAUGGAGGCAAAAGUGAGGACAACCUGGAGGUGGACGUGUCCAGUGAGGUGAACUGAAACAAAAUCGAGCCAGACCCCGCAGAUCUUCUCUCUGGGGUACUGUCCCACAGGGGAGUGGCUGGCCGUGGGGAUGGAGAGCAGCAACGUGGAGGUGCUGCACGUCUCCAAACCCGACAAGUACCAGCUGCACCGCCACGAGAGCUGCGUGCUGUCCCUCAAGUUCGCCUACUGUGGUGAGCCCAGCUCAUCCAAGCUUUCACCCAUCUGCUGCCUGCUAGACAUCUGGGCCAAUCAAUUUGCAUAUGCAAAUGAGCACUGCCCAAAUGGAGCCAGUCAGAUUGCGUAUGCAAAUGUGCUCUGUCCAAUUAGGGCUAAUCAGGUUGCCCAUGAAUAUAUCCACUGGCCAAAUAGAGCCAGUCAGAUUGCAUAUUAAAAUGUGCACUAUUCAAGUACAGCCAGUAUUCAAGAUGACCACUGAAAAUCUUCUCUACUCCAAGCCAAUCAGAUUGCCCAUGAAAUGUAUACAAUAUAAAAACAGCCAAUCAGAUUGCAUAAAAACAUGCAUCAUAUAAAUACAGCCAGUCAGAAUGUAUUUUCAGAUUUAUUUGUUCAGGACAUUAAAAGUUUUUUGCCAUGAAUGAUAUGAUAAAAUUAUUACUGUGAAUAAAUUACAGACAUAUUAACAAUCAAGGC